ensembl:lncRNA
GCCAGCACUGUUGACCACAGUAUAAAAUACAAAAAAACUAUUUAAUAUUUCACCAGAAGAUGGCAGUAGCCCUUUGGCUGCACUCUCGCUGCGUGACCCAUGUGUGACCCUUUCCAGCACAUUACUAAAAUGGCGACUGUAACUAAAAAAAGGGAAGUUGGCAGCGAGGGUUGGCGUUUUCAUGACAAGUGGAAAUUGGAGUAUUUUUUCAGGUCAACUGGGGAAGUUCAUCGAUGAAUUUGACACGCUACUGUCCACCAUCCCAGAUGAUGGAACUCCUCUUCUGGUCCUUGGUGAUUUCAACAUUCAUCUAGACAAGCCACAUGCAGGUGACUUUCUUGCUCUCCUUCCCGCAUUCGACCUCAAGCAGUUCAUCACACCAGCAAUCCACAAAGCCGGUAAACAGCUUGACAUCAUCCUCACACGUAAUUGCACCACACAUAAUCUUCUCAUUACUCCUCUCCACACCUCUGACCAUUUCUUUAUCCAGUUCUCUAUUUCUCUCCCCUCACCACCAUCAAUGUCUCCUCCCUCUAUCUCUUUUCGUCGCAAUCUUCGCUCCCUUUCCCCCUCACAUUUCUCCUCUGUUGUCACAACCUUACUUCCCUCCGAAAGCCACCUUUCCUCACUUGACCUAAACACCGCAACCGACAUGCUAUGUUCCACUCUAACAUCUUCUCUUGACAGCAUAUGCCCCUAACCUCCAGACCUGCUCGCACAUCACCCUCUAGUCCUUGGCUCUCAGAAGCUCUGCGUGACAACCGGGCCAAACUGAGAGCAUCUGAAAGGAAUCAACCCAAUUGACCUAACCAAUUACCAGACACUUCCCUCUUCUUUUUCAAAUAGCAUCUCCAUUGCUAAAGCCACAUUCUACCAAGACAAGAUUCUUAGUUCUCCCAACAC